rnacentral:rRNA from 1 species
GACGAACGCUGGCGGCGUGCUUAACACAUGCAAGUCGAACGGAAAGGCCCUGCUUUUGUGGGGUGCUCGAGUGGCGAACGGGUGAGUAACACGUGAGUAACCUGCCCUUGACUUUGGGAUAACUUCAGGAAACUGGGGCUAAUACCGGAUAGGAGCUCCUGCUGCAUGGUGGGGGUUGGAAAGUUUCGGCGGUUGGGGAUGGACUCGCGGCUUAUCAGCUUGUUGGUGGGGUAGUGGCUUACCAAGGCUUUGACGGGUAGCCGGCCUGAGAGGGUGACCGGCAACAUUGGGACUGAGAUACGGCCCAGACUCCUACGGGAGGCAGCAGUGGGGAAUAUUGCACAAUGGGCGGAGGCCUGAUGCAGCAACGCCGCGUGCGGGAUGACGGCCUUCGGGUUGUAAACCGCUUUCGCCUGUGACGAAGCGUGAGUGACGGUAAUGGGUAAAGAAGCACCGGCUAACUACGUG